AACGCAUAAACAAAUUGGUAGAGCGAGAAAACAAAAGAAAAGAGGUGUGCACAUGGAAACGGGAAAACAAAAACAGAGGGAGAGCAGAAACAGAAGCAGGCAUGGGGGAAACGAACACCGCAUCAGGCGAAGCGAAGACGGUGCUGUCCACGACCGCGUCGAUCCAAAACCUUUCCCCCCUGUCGCUCUCGCGAUGCCUCUUCUCCUCCUGUUUUCGAUCCGAUGUGACGCUUACCCUCUCCCAAUCUCCUGAAUUAUUGCGUGGGAAUCAAACCCCGGGUCGAUGGAUGCCCUUUUAAGCCCCUUCUGAUCAACCCUAACCCUCGCAGCUUGAUCUUCUUCCAUGGCCGAUGCCUCCGCCAUGUUCCGCCCGCUGGAGCUCCUACCGCCGGCGGCCACGGCCGCCGGCGACCUCAGCAUCGAGCAGCAGCACGACGGCCUCCACUUCUGGCAGUUCAUGGUGGCCGGAUCCGUCGCGGGCGUCGUCGCGGCCUCCACUUCUGGCAGUUCCCCGUCGACACCCUCAAGACCCGGAUGCAGGCCGGCUCCCCGCCCUGCCACCCGCCGCUCGGUCUCCGCCACGCCGUCCGCUCUGUCCUCCGCGCCGAGGGCCUCCUCGGCCUCUACCGCGGCCUCGGCGCCGGACCCGCCCACGCCGUGUACUUCUCCGUCUACGAGAUCUCCAAGGACUCGCUCUCCGGGGAGAACUCCAACAAUCCGAUCGCCCACGCCGCCUCCGGGGUGCUCGCCACCGUCGCCAGCGACGCCGUGUUCACGCCUAUGGACACCGUGAAGCAGCGUCUCCAGCUCAGAAGUAGCCCGUACAAGGGUGUCGCGGACUGCGUCGCCAGGGUUCUGAGGGAGGAGGGGAGCAGGGCGUUCUUCGCCUCUUACAAGACGACCGUCGUGAUGAACGCCCCUUAUUCCGCCGUGCACUUCACAACGUACGAGACAGCCAAGAGGGGGCUGAUGGAAAUCUCACCGGAGAGUGCCAGUGAGGAGCGGCUGGUGGUGCACGCCACCGCUGGUGCUGCGGCGGGUGGCUUAGCAGCAGCUAUAACAACACCGCUCGAUGUGGUGAAGACCCAAUUACAGUGUCAGGGUGUUUGUGGUUGUGAUAGAUAUUCAAGCAGCUCUAUAAACGAGGUUAUACGGGCAAUAUUAAGGUGCGACGGUUAUGCUGUGCUGAUGAGGGGAUGGAAACCUAGAAUGCUGUUUCAUGCACCAGCCGCGGCUAUUUGCUGGUUGACAUACGAAGCAAUGAAGUCCUUUUUUGAAAAGCUGAAUGACCACGAGUGAGCAUCCCAAGAUUCCAAAAGGAAUGCUUCUCUUUCGGAGUUCUACAUCAUCUCAUACAGAAAUAUGCCCUUCACUGAUUAAAACCAGCAUCAAUAAUGUAUGCUGCCAUGGCUGUCGCUGUCGAAUUGUGUUACUCCCACAUCUAUUCCAAAGUUGUAUCUGUACAAGUUUUCUUGUUGAAAGAAAUGAUGAUCAUGCUUGGAUGUGGGAAUUAAUGUGGGAUCAUGAUUCCAUCAUCACAUCAUCAUGCAAUGUGUUGGAAACUCAUGCUCAAACGAAGAUUGAUUUUGUUCUCUGUAUGUGCAGAGUUGAAAAGACAAAUCAUGAAAAGAUUACUCGUUCAAUGGAAGGAUGAUGUUAAUUGGCUUCCUCAAGUGUGGAAGUGAUUUUUUGUAUGUUAAUGAUUACUUGUCAUGCC